rnacentral:lncRNA from 1 species
AGCCAUUUCUCCAGCCCAUAUAUUAAAUAUUUUUAAACAAUAAAUUGAAAUUCAGUCACUUCAUUAAGAGUAAAUACGAAGAUGAGAGGUGAGAGUUGAAAAAGAAUUUUGUAGGUAAUCUAAGCCCAAUUUAAACAGUUAUCUAAAAAUGUGAUAUAAAAUGUAUUUAACCACAUUCACUUAAAAUUGCAAGUAAGGCAUUAAUAAAGUCCAUUCCUUAACACUUUACAGGCCUAACACUACACGAUCAGUUGGUGGAAAGCUGGCUUACAAUACAGCCAGUGUUUACAGCUGAAAUGCCUACUCUGUUGAAGCACUUGCCCUUUGUGCCCUUUGCCCCACUAAUAUUAGAAUGGGAUUAAAAUUGCCCAGGACAGUCCUGGCUUUCUGUCCUUCUGCUCCUCCACCCCCAGCUGCCUCAGAGGUGUGGAAAUUGGACCCUUAACAACACUGGUUGCCUAUCUGCACCACGGUAGGCAGUAGCACAAAUGGCUCAGAGCAACUCAUGUAGAACUGGACCUCGAGCCUAGGCCAAACAAUACAGUUGUAGGAAAUACUUGUAUCUGUAUUUUUAAGAUCUGGGAAAGGGAGAAAAUGUCAUAAAAUCAGAAUGGGAAUUGACUCAGGAACAAACAAACAAGUAUAAAACCUUUUAGUAUAUUUUAGCUACAAUAAAGUAAAGCAAAAUUAAACCCUCUGAUGGGGCUGAAGCUAUAAAAUAAUUUCAAAGCAAGUUACUGUGAGACCUAACAGUGCAGUAUCAUAGUGGCCAUAGCCAUUGUCCAUGUGUAUGUAGGAACGCAGAAUUCACUUUUCCAAGCUCGAGUUGGAGAUCAUGUAAUUGUUUUCUUAGUCUUUCAUCCUAAGGGAACAGUGAAAGAUUUUUCAUGUUCUUACAAUGUUUUUUUUUUUUACUAUAGGCAAGGAAAGUUUGAAAUCCUCAGUUUCUUGAACUCUGAUAAUAAAGAAAACUACCCAACUUGUUUUAUGCCAUAGUUGAACAAGGAUAGCAAAACAGACAGCUCUACUGAUUUUACUUGUAUACAAUGCAGAGUUACAGAUGCUAACUACAGUUCGUUGGUUUAUUCAAACAAACCCCAGAUAGUUACUGCAGGACAAGGUGAAGUUUAUCACACACUAAAGGGUGCCCUAAAGGGCAGUAAGUCUCCUUACCCAACACUUCUACUUAGGCAUCAUCUUGAUGAAUCAAGAAAACUUUCUUUUGGAUUCACUGUUUAUACUGGGGAAACUAAAAAUAACUAUACUCAUAGUUUGAUGAAUAGUAUAUUUAAAAUGUUAGGUUUAAAUGAUAAUGAAACUUAAAAGAGAGGCAUACCAAAUUUUUAAUGGUGGUUAUUUAUGG